rnacentral:lncRNA from 1 species
GAGCAAAUUGACCUGCAAACACAUAUAACAGAAAACUACUAAAGUUCUUCUGCUACCGCACAUGAUUUAGAUUGCCUUCUAUACCUUUGUGAGUUUAACAGUGAGGGAAAAGUUCUGAUCUAGGAAAAAGGGAAUGGGUUAUAGGAAUUUUAGAUUCUAAAUAAAUUUUAAUCACCAACUGGCAAAAUGUCAUUUGCUUAUAACGAGCCCUUGCAUUUUCCUCUGAAAAACUGAAAAUACAACAUAUAGAGAGGG